ACAUGCAAGCUCGAACGGCAGCACGGGGGCAACCCUGGUGGCGAGUGGCGAACGGGUGAGUAAUGCAUCUGAACGUGCCCUGAAGUGGGGGAUAACGUAGCGAAAGUAACGCUAAUACCGCAUAUUCUGUGAGCAGAAAAGCAGGGGAUCUUAGGACCUUGUGCUUUGGGAGCGGCCGAUGUCGGAUUAGCUAGUUGGUGAGGUAAAGGCUCACCAAGGCGACGAUCCGUAGCGGGUCUGAGAGGAUGAUCCGCCACACUGGAACUGAGACACGGUCCAGACUCCUACGGGAGGCAGCAGUGGGGAAUUUUGGACAAUGGGCGCAAGCCUGAUCCAGCCAUGCCGCGUGAGUGAAGAAGGCCUUCGGGUUGUAAAGCUCUUUCGGCGGGGAAGAAAUAGCGUGGGUUAAUACCCUGCGUUGAUGACGGUACCCGCAUAAGAAGCACCGGCUAACUACGUGCCAGCAGCCGCGGUAAUACGUAGGGGUGCGAGCGUUAAUCGGAAUUACUGGGCGUAAAGCGUGCGCAGGCGGUUGUAUAAGUCAGAUGUGAAAUCCCCGGGCUCACCCUGGGAACUGCAUUUGAGACUGUACGGCUAGAGUUUGG
rnacentral:rRNA from 1 species